CUGGAAACGUAGACAAUUGGUUAAAAAUGGAAUUGAUCUCAUUUUGAAACAUCGUUUUGAUGGACUGGAUUUGAGUUGGGAUAUUCCAAUAGAAAGAUUCGAUCCAAAUCUUCAUUUGCAAUUCGUGAAGGAAUUGAAGGAACAUUUGCAAUGGAACCGACUAUUACUCUCCGGAAAAAUCAAUGCAGACAACGAAACAUUGAAUAAUGGCGAUUAUUUGUCAGCUUUAUCUGGUCAACUUGAUUUGUUGCUGGUUUAAAUUUCGGAGGUCUCAAACUCGACACUGCCUAUAGGAAAAAACGUUAUUUGGGC